AUUCCGACUUUUCACUCUAUUUGGGUCACGACGGUCAAUUGAAUUUUCGGUGUUAUCGCCAUCGUAUUCUAUAUCUGCGAUAGAUUUAAUUGUACAGGUGAAAUGACGAAUUACAGAUAUUUAAGAAAAAAAAAAAAAAAAACGAUAUUUACCAUGAAUCCUACGGAUGACUUUUGCUCCGAACGCUUGUACCUAUUAUUAAUGGUGAAAAUCAAGAAAACGCUAAAACACGCAUAUCUUGAUG